rnacentral:lncRNA from 1 species
GAUGGCGGUUGGCGCAGCCCGCCACUGCGCACGCGCGCCCCGCCCCCACAGGGCCCCCGCCGGUCCUGGGGAAAGGGGUGGGGGAGGGCGGACCUGGUCCCCGGCGAGGACCUUCCGGGCUGCCCUUUCGCCCUCGGACCGCUCUUGGGCAGCUCUUCCUUUGCAGGCCCUGUGCCCUCUUUCCCUUUCCAGCCUGGGUCGUCUUUUUCUUCCCCUUUCCUGUUCUUUGUCGUUUCCUCCUUAUUGUCGCAGAGUCAUCUGUUAAUGAAAAAUUUGCACGUCAUUCCCUUGGAGGUAUCAAAUUCUGUUUAUCGUAACAUCCCUUGAGUGCGUGUAUGUCACCAGAUCUUAGUGUCUAGAAUGUUCAAAGGGGUCUCAGACCUUGCAGCUGCCUGGGCACUUUUUUUUUUUUUUUUCUAGAACAAUCCAGUGGUGGUGAGCUAACAUGGAGAGCGCCAGGGCUUGCGAUGGUUUAGAGCGUGGAGGUCAGGACAGGGUGGGGACAGCCACCCUUUAUUCCAGAACCUCUGAGAUGGUGUGUGUUUAGACAGUGACACCGGCAGGGGAAGAUGGAGUUGAGUAUCAUGGGGUUGGUUAGGAUGGCAACUAAAUAACGACAUAGGAGUUGUAAAAAGUCCCCGGUCUGUAUUUUUAAAACUGCUGGCAAUGGUUGUGGAAGGAUCUCGAAGCAGGCUGGGGGGCUCUGGCAAUUGAGAGUACUGUCUCCUGUUAACCUUCCACCUUCACCCGUCCCCCGCCACGAUAAAUAAAGCAGGGCCAGUUCAAGCAGCUAUUUUAAAUGGUCCCUGGCAGAGCUGUUCUUGUUUAAUCAGUCUUUCUCCCUGAAGAGUGGAAUAUUACUGAGAUGCAGAUGGUUCCCUUCAGACUCAGUCUUGAUGUUUGCUCUGGGACUGGAAAAUUUUUAGUAGAAUUUUACAGCUGGAAGGAGGAACACUGAGUUGGGUCACCUCAUUUUACAGAUGGGGAUUUGGGGGCCUGGGGAGUUUGUGAUUUGCCUAAAACCAGACACAGCUAAUUAGUACCUGAACCUAUUCUUGAAUCGAGGAUUUCAACUUCACUGCGCCUCUUUUUCUCCCCCACUACCUCCCACCCCACCCUCACCCAGUCCUUCUGUCAGCCCCCACAACUGAUGUUUUUGCUAGGGCUGGGGGAGGACCUAGCCCCUGUCUGUCAUCUGAGAUCUGUCUCCCACUGCAGAGCUGCUGAAAUGAAUUUUAAGAGUCCUAAAGUGCUUUAAAUAAUUGUCAGUGCAGCUAAACCAGUCGUCUCCAUCCGCCUUACACAUGGAUGAUACUGUUAGAACGGCUGUAUGUCACUUAGCUAAUUCUCCCUGAAUCUGGGGAAAGAGAUUUGAACGAAGCUCAGCACUCAGAAGUCUCUUGUGCAGAGAGAUGGCUUGCCAAAGCAAGAGACAAAUAUUCUUGUUUUCCCAGUUGGUAAGUGAGAAACAUUUUAGAGGUUAUGGACACUAGGCCCAAAGAUUUACUGCCUUCAUCUCUCCUAGCUCUUGCUUCUCAGAACUGUCUAGCUGUCUCCAAAAUGCUCUAAUUCCUUCCUCUACUUCCUGAUAUACUAAGCCUCUUUUUUUCCUGAAAGAUGUGUUUAAACAAGAUGGCCUAAAAUCACCAUGUUCUUUGGUGAGAAGGUAAAUAAUACACUUGCUUAAGUGUUCUUCUGUCAACUCUCUUGAGCUAAGGAUCCCUUUAACAUAAAACUAAGUUUUCUUGGAGUUCCCGUCGUGGCUCGGUAGUUAACGAGUCCGACUAGGAACCAUGAAGUUGAGGGUUCGAUCCCUGGCCUUGCUCAGUGGGUUAAGGAUCCGGCGUUGCCGUGAGCUGUUGUGUGGGUCGCAGAUGCGGCUCGGGGUUGCUGUGGCUGUGGCAUAGGCUGGCGGCUACAGCUCCAAUUCGACCCCUAGCCUGGGAACCUCCAUAUGCCAUGGGAGCAGCCCUAGAAAAGACAAAAACAAAAAAACUAAGUUUUCUUUAAGGCAGCUUUCCUCUGGCCUCCAUCCAUGUGCCUUUUAACUUCAUCAGGUCCUAAGGCAGCGGCUCUCAAUCCCCUGUUUAUUCCUCUCUUCCUUACUCUGAAACCUAGUCUUCAUUUGGGCCCAAGGGCCUAGGUAUAAGAGGGCUAGUCCGUUUUGGAGGGUCAUCUUGUGCUCCGCACCCACCCCACCCUCAGAAGAGCCCUCACUAAAAAUAGGAGGCCCUUGGUUCUGGUUUCUGGCAAUUACUCCCCUGACAAACAGCCUGUGACCUUGGGCAGGAGCCCAAAUAACUUCUCAAUGGCAAUUUCCUUAUGCAUGAUACAAGGAGAUGGGAUGAAAGAAGUGUUGAUGCCAAUUCUAUAAAAUGCUGUAGACAAAGAGAUGGGCAGGAAACAGGAUUUUAGGUCUCCUGGCCCCGGGGCACUGAAAAGGACUAAAGCAGCAGAAAUUUAGAAUCAGGCCUCCAGAUUCUAAAUCCCAGUCCUCCGGAGUCACUCAGGCCAGAAACGUCCAGAGAAUGCUGGCAACCGCUCCACCUCCUUCCCUUCUGAGCAAGGCCAGUCAGGCUUAGUCAAGAGUUUCUAAGGCCCUUCCUUUCUGGGUCCAGGGUUCCCAGGCCAGUCUGGGCCCGUCUUCAGCAAAACCUGGUCUCCCCUCAGGCCUCUUUUGUCCUCAUCUUUAUUCUUGGGAUAGUUAUCUAAUCCUGCUUUGCCAGAGACAGUUUUGAAAUGCAGAUAGAUAAAAGGCCAGAGGAGUGCCCCCGAAAGAACUUCUAGUUUUCUAAAGACUCAAGGAAUGCGCAGUUCCCAGCCCCCUCCUGCCGCCCACUUUCCAAAGCUGGAAGCUGAUCUCGGGAACAAAGACAGCACCGGAGUUCAGCUCCCUCCUCCCCACAGCAGCCAACUCCCCGGGCAGGGAAAAAACCCGGCGAUGACGCAGCAGCUCUGAGCUCCAUCCUGCAGAAGAGAGGGCGUUGUUUUCUAGAGGGUUUGGGACAGCUAAAAAUGUCCUUGGGGAAGGGGCGAAAGCUGCCAGUGGAAUCCCGCAGACUCACUCCUACCUCUCAGAGGGCCGAGGGUCCUUUUAGCAAAAACAAGUUACAGAAACUACAAAAGGCUGUGUCAUCGGCCUUCCCCAAAGUGCUGUGGGGCCUGGGCCACCACCAGGCCUUUCCCUCACAGGCCCUGAACGUCCCUAGGCCAAGGAGCAAGGGAGCAGAAGGCUUCUGCGUAGGUGGAAUCCUCUUUCUGGGGGACAACUCGGCGAAAUUAUCUUGAAAAAGAGGUUUCUCACCCCCGGGCCAAGACCUCAGUGCUGCUAGCUCCCUUCUCUAGUUUAUUCCUCACACAAUGUCCUUGGCCCUGGGCCCUGCAGCCUGUUUGUGGAGCUUCCCGGAAGGCCUGGCUGUGGAGGCCCAGCUGGAGCCGAGGGGGACGUGGGAGGACAGCAUGACAGGAGGCCGGAUCGCAGCUCUCCAGACCGGCUGCGUCAGCUCCUGAGCUUUGCAGGCCCCGCACUGGCUUCACCCAGUGUUUCCAGACCUUCCUUCCCUCCCCAGCAGUCCGCCCCCCUCUCUAUUUUCUCUGGCAUCCGUGGAGCCCUGCACCAUAUGCGUUCCCUACACCAUCUCGCUUCAGUUCCCCCCGCUGCCUGUGAGAGAGAUGCUGCCAUUAACCCCUUGGACGGAUGAGGACACUGAGGCGUGGGCUGUCUGAGCAUCACUCAUGCCUGGCACACGCUAGGAGCUCAAAAUGUGUCUGUUGAGGAGUUCGCAUUGUGGCUCAGUGGAAAUGAAUCUGACCAGUAUCUAUGAGGAUGCAAGUUCGAUCCUUGGCCCUCACUCAUGGGUUAAGGCUCUGGCGUUGCCGUGAGCUGUGGUGUAGAUCCCAGAUGCGGCUUGGAUCUGGCGUGGAUGUGGCUGUGGUGUAGGCCCGCAGCUACAGCUCUGAUUCAACCCCCUAGCCUGGGAACCUCCAUAUGCCAUGAGUGUGGCCCUAAAAAAAAAAAAAAUUAAAAACCAGGCAGGGGGUGUGCCCUGGUGGCCUGGCAGGUUAAGGAUCCAGCAUUGUCACUGUUGUCACUGCUGUGGCUUGGUUGUUGCAGUGGGGCAGGUUGGGAGAGGGUUCCUGCCUGGGAAGGAGUUGCAGGGGUGGGGUUGGGGGGGUAAAAAAUCAGGCAGAAUAGUGCAAAGACCACAUGCAGUAGAUGCCCAGUAAGUGCAGUGUGACGAGGGACUGGUAACCCAGCCCGGGAGGGCUGUCAAAGGACGAUGUGUCCCGCGUUCCGGAAGCCGUAGCUGCCGGCCUGCACUACAGACACAGCAACACCAGAUCCGAGCCAUAUCUGCGACCUACACCACAGCUCACACGGCAAUGCAGGAUCUUUAACCCACUCAGGCAAGGGAUUGAACCCACGUCCUCAUGGAUACUGGUCCUGUCAUGCUUUGAUAGGAAUAAAAUGCUUUUCAGCGUGACACGACAUGACCACCCAGCAGGAUGGCGUGAGAUGGCACUGAGCUGUACUGACACGGGGAACUGCUUCCCUCUGCGGAACUUCUAGACAGACUGAUCCACCAGGGCAGGGAAGGGGGUGGCCCAGAAGGCUGCCUUUGGUUUCCAGGGAGCUCCAGCCUCCAGAGCGGAGGGGAGCGAGCCCAGGCUCAGGCCUCCUGUCGCUCAACUGCAGGACUCACUGCGGGAGGCGGGAGGCGUCUCAUUAAUCACCCUCUGGGCCUGUGCGUGGGCCUCCCACACAGCCUGAAGGAAUCCCAUCCACAGUCUUGGAUCCCUGAUCGGUUCAGUACCCUCUUGAGGUCCCAGGCGGAUGUUUG